CCUGCUUUGGUGGAUUAGUGGCGAACGGGUGAGUAACACGUGAGCAACGUGCCCAGGACUCUGGAAUAACCGCCGGAAACGGUGGCUAAUACCGGAUAGGACCACAUUUUGGAUGGUGUGGUGGAAAGUUUUCGGUGUGGGAUGAGCUCGCGGCCUAUCAGCUUGUUGGUGGGGUAAUGGCCUACCAAGGCGUCGACGGGUAGCCGGCCUGAGAGGGUGUACGGCCACAUUGGGACUGAGAUACGGCCCAG
rnacentral:rRNA from 1 species